rnacentral:rRNA from 1 species
GAUGAACGCUGGCGGCGUGCUUAACACAUGCAAGUCGAACGGAAAGGCCAGUGCUUGCACUGGUACUCGAGUGGCGAACGGGUGAGUAACACGUGGGUGAUCUGCCCUGUACUUCGGGAUAAGCUUGGGAAACUGGGUCUAAUACCGGAUAGGACAACUUCUUGGAUAUUGUUGUGGAAAGCUUUUGCGGUAUGGGAUGAGCUCGCGGCCUAUCAGCUUGUUGGUGGGGUAAUGGCCUACCAAGGCGUCGACGGGUAGCCGGCCUGAGAGGGUGUACGGCCACAUUGGGACUGAGAUACGGCCCAGACUCCUACGGGAGGCAGCAGUGGGGAAUAUUGCACAAUGGGCGCAAGCCUGAUGCAGCGACGCCGCGUGGGGGAUGAAGGCCUUCGGGUUGUAAACACCUUUCGCUAGGGACGAAGCUUUUUUGUGACGGUACCUGGAGAAGAAGCACCGGCUAACUACGUG